CUCCGGAAGUGACGUGCUCUCCCGAGCCGGGGCCAUGGCACCUGCAAGGCGUUUCUCAGCAAGAUUGAGGACCGUGUUUCAGGGCGUGGGGCAUUGGGCUUUGUCCACAUGGGCUGGCCUGAAGCCCAGCCGGCUACUGCCACAGCAGGCUUCUCCCAGGCUACUCUCGGUCGGCUGUGCGGACCUCGCCAAGCAUCAGAAACUCCCGGGGAAGAAGCCGCUCUCUGAGAAAAAGCUGGUGAGACUCCUGGAGUUAGAGCAGCUUGCCUGUCUCCUCCUCAGAAGGCACAGGGUGUGGUUUUGGGUCCUCCUCUGGGUCGCAUCUCUGUUGAUGUUAGUUGAUGAUCUUAGUGAUGGGGCACGUGGAGCUUCUUGAAAAUGACGGGGUGAAACGCAGGCCUGCGUGCUAAAUCCCACGCUCAGCAAAUCCCGGCAGGCCGGGAGAGGCGCUGGGUGCUUGGAAAGCCGUGAUACAGGCUGCUCAUUUUCCCAUGAGCCUGUGUAUUUUACGUGUAUGUUACAUAUGUCCUUUCAUAUGUGUGGCUAUUUCUUAAUUUAAAACAAAUGCGGAGGCUGGGCACGGUGGCUCAUGCCUGUUAUCCCAACACUUUGGGACGCUAAGGUAGGCUGAUCACUUGAGGUCAGGAGUUCGAGACCAGCCUGGCCA
rnacentral:sRNA from 1 species